UACAGAGGUAGCAAGCGUUGUUCGGAAUUACUGGGCGUAAAGGGCGCGAAGGCGGUCUUGUAAGUCCCGUGUGAAAUCCCUCGGCUCAACUGAGGAACUGCACGGGAAACUGCUUGGCUUGAGUUCGGGAGAGGGAAGCGGAAUUCCGGGUGUAGCGGUGAAAUGCGUAGAUAUCCGGAGGAACACCGGUGGCGAAGGCGGCUUCCUGGACCGACACUGACGCUGAGGCGCGAAAGCGUGGGGAGCAAACAGG
rnacentral:rRNA from 1 species